rfam:Clostridium sp. CAG:356 genomic scaffold, scf63
CUCUAAUACUAUUUCAGAUUGUGUAUUUUACGGAAUGCAUACAGCAAAGUAUUAGUAAUAAAGAGAUUUAUUCCUUCCUUUUCUAAAAAGGUAAAAAUGAAACAGUAUAAUAUAUGUUAGUAAUUUUGAUGAAUAUAUAUGUUAUAC